GGGGAAGGACCCGUUCCCUCAAUUGGAUGGCAAUAUGUUUUCCUAAAGAAGCCACAAGUACUGCUAACUUUCUUAACAGCAAGAAAGUUACACAUAGCUGUCUCAUUUUCAGCUUGGUGUCCACCAGAGUCAUCAAGUCCUUUUUUGCAGAGCUGCUUUCCAGCUGGGUGCCCCCAUCAUGUUCUGUUGCCUGGAUUUGUUCCUCCUUAAGUGCAGGACUGCACUUCCCAUUGUUGAAGUUCAUGAGAUUCUCAACAGCCCACCUGUCCUCCCUAUUGAGGUCCCCCUGGAUGGCAGCACAGCCCUCUGGAAGUGUGUGGCAAGGGAGAGCAAUGGUCUUCAUUCUACCUUUGGACAGCAUCCUUAAGGCUCUCCCUCAGCACACAGAGGAGUGAAAAGCAGCCCCUUCACUUGAGUACUUCAACUGAGAACCUAUCCUUGGAUGUUCUGUAUUUUUGCAGACCUCAUACCAUUUAAUAGUGAGAUCAUGUAUUCCAGAGACCUUGCUCUUUCUCUUCUUCUGUCAUGAUCCCCCAGUUUUUUGUUGGAAGUGAUAAAGUGUAGCUCAAGAAAGAUAAAAAAUUUGUGAGCCCAGUACUUUUUAAUUUUUUGAUUAAUUAUGUGGUCAUGUAAGUAAAAUGGCACUGUUUAUUUCCUUAUGAUCCUGUACACCUACUGAUUUCUACUGAUUUUGUAAGGUACACUGACAAAUCUUGUGCCAUUUGGGAUGACCUAGAGCAACCUGCUAAAAGAGGAGAGCUUUGGUAAAGAGGAAAGGAGAUGGAAGGGUGACAACAGUGUAUACAUCCUUGCUUUGAAGUUUUGUCAAAAAAUGGAUCUUCCAUUCAUUUUUUUCCUACAGCUAUUAACAGCAUUAUUUCAUGGCCAUGAUCUUUCUGAGACUUAAAUCCUCCUUUCUCAGAGAAAAAAGUGGCAUUGGCAAAUACAUAAAUGCAGUAAAAUAAAGCAUGGUGGACUGACAAGAGUCUCAUGAAGUUCAGCAAGGAGAAGUGCAAACUCUUCCACUUGGAGAGGAGCAUCCCCGGGCACCUGGACAUGAGGACACUCAGCUGAAAAGCAGCUCUGCAAAACAUGACCUGGGGGCUCCAGUAGACACCAGGGUGAAUGAGAGUCAGUGAUGUGCACUUGCUACUAACUAAAACAGUAUUCAUGCCUGCAUUAGGCUAAGACAUAUUGCCAACAGAGAAGUUGGUCAAGAGAGAUUCCUUCCCCUCUUCUUAGCACUGAAUGAGGCUGCACCUGGAGUGCUGAGUCCAACUCUGGGCCCUCCAGUAAAAGAAACAUAGACUUAGUGGAAAGAAUCCAGUGGAAGGCUAUCAAGAUGGUCAAG
ensembl:lncRNA